rfam:Oryza barthii chromosome 6, whole genome shotgun sequence.
UUGAUACGACUCUUCGUCUUAUUUAAAAACUUUUUAUGAUUAAUAUUUUUAUUAUUGUUAGAUGAUAAAGCAUGAAUAGUAAUUUAUGCAUGACUAUUUUGUAAAACAAUUUUUAUAAUUUUUUUAAAUAAGACGAACGGUCAAACGUUCGAGACAGAAACCGA